GUGAGUAGUUCAGAGUUUGAUCCUGGCUCAGGACGAACGCUGGCGGCGUGCCUAACACAUGCAAGUCGAACGGAGAUAUUCGCUGAUUUGAAGAUAGCUUGCUACCCGAUUUUCUUGGAUAUCUUAGUGGCGGACGGGCGAGUAACGCGUGAGCAACCUGCCCUUCAGAGGGGAACAACAGUUGGAAACGACUGCUAAUACCGCAUAACGUGCUUUCGGGGCAUCCCGAGAGCACCAAAGAUUUAUCGCUGAAGGAUGGGCUCGCGUCCGAUUAGAUAGUUGGUGGGGUAACGGCCUACCAAGUCGACGAUCGGUAGCCGAACUGAGAGGUUGAUCGGCCGCAUUGGGACUGAGACACGGCCCAG
rnacentral:rRNA from 1 species